rnacentral:rRNA from 1 species
UUCGGGGUACUCGAGUGGCGAACGGGUGAGUAACACGUGGGUGAUCUGCCCUGCACUUUGGGAUAAGCCUGGGAAACUGGGUCUAAUACCGAAUAGGACCACGCGCUUCAUGGUGUGUGGUGGAAAGCUUUUGCGGUGUGGGAUGGGCCCGCGGCCUAUCAGCUUGUUGGUGGGGUAAUGGCCUACCAAGGCGACGACGGGUAGCCGGCCUGAGAGGGUGACCGGCCACACUGGGACUGAGAUACGGCCCAGACUCCUACGGGAGGCAGCAGUGGGGAAUAUUGCACAAUGGGCGCAAGCCUGAUGCAGCGACGCCGCGUGAGGGAUGACGGCCUUCGGGUUGUAAACCUCUUUCAAUAGGGACGAAGCGNGAGUGACGGUACCUAUAGAAGAAGCACCGGCCAACUACGUGCCAGCAGCCGCGGUAAUACGUAGGGUGCGAGCGUUGUCCGGAAUUACUGGGCGUAAAGAGCUCGUAGGUGGUUUGUCGCGUUGUUCGUGAAAACUCACAGCUUAACUGUGGGCGUGCGGGCGAUACGGGCAGACUAGAGUACUGCAGGGGAGACUGGAAUUCCUGGUGUAGCGGUGGAAUGCGCAGAUAUCAGGAGGAACACCGGUGGCGAAGGCGGGUCUCUGGGCAGUAACUGACGCUGAGGAGCGAAAGCGUGGGGAGCGAACAGGAUUAGAUACCCUGGUAGUCCACGCCGUAAACGGUGGGUACUAGGUGUGGGUUCCUUCCUUGGGAUCCGUGCCGUAGCUAACGCAUUAAGUACCCCGCCUGGGGAGUACGGCCGCAAGGCUAAAACUCAAAGGAAUUGACGGGGGCCCGCACAAGCGGCGGAGCAUGUGGAUUAAUUCGAUGCAACGCGAAGAACCUUACCUGGGUUUGACAUGCACAGGACGCCGGCAGAGAUGUCGGUUCCCUUGUGGCCUGUGUGCAGGUGGUGCAUGGCUGUCGUCAGCUCGUGUCGUGAGAUGUUGGGUUAAGUCCCGCAACGAGCGCAACCCUUGUCCUAUGUUGCCAGCGGGUUAUGCCGGGGACUCGUAGGAGACUGCCGGGGUCAACUCGGAGGAAGGUGGGGGAUGACGUCAAGUCAUCAUGCCCCUUAUGUCCAGGGCUUCACACAUGCUACAAUGGCCGGUACAAAGGGCUGCGAUGCCGUGAGGUGGAGCGAAUCCUUUCAAAGCCGGUCUCAGUUCGGAUCGGGGUCUGCAACUCGACCCCGUGAAGUCGGAGUCGCUAGUAAUCGCAGAUCAGCAACGCUGCGGUGAAUACGUUCCCGGGCCUUGUACACACCGCCCGUCACGUCAUGAAAGUCGGUAACACCCGAAGCC